AAUAUUUGACAAUGGGGGCAACCCUGAUCCAGCCAUGGCGCGUGUGUGAAGAAGGUCUUCGGAUUNUAAAGCACUUUAAGUUGGGGNGAAGGGCUUUAGGCUAAUACCCUGAAGUUUUGACGUUACUAACAGAAUAAGCACUGGCUCACUCUGUGCCAGCAGCCGCGGUAAUACAGAGGGUGCAAGCGUUAAUCGGAAUUACUGGGCGUAAAGCGCGCGUAGGUGGUUCAGUAAGAUGGGUGUGAAAUCCCCGGGCUUAACCUGGGAACUGCUUUCAUAACUGCUUAGCUAGAGUACGGUAGAGGGUAGUGGAAUUUCCUGUGUAGCGGCGAAAUGCGUAGAUAUAGGAAGGAACACCAGUGGCGAAGGCGACUACCUGGAAUGAUACCGACACUGGGGUGCGAAAGCGUGGGGAGCAAACA
rnacentral:rRNA from 1 species